rnacentral:rRNA from 1 species
GACGAACCGUACAAACGUUAUUCGGAAUCACUGGGCUUAAAGGGUGCGUAGGCGGCGGCGCAAGUUGGGUGUGAAAUCCCUCGGCUCAACCGAGGAACUGCGCUCAAAACUGCGUUGCUUGAGGGAGAUAGAGGUGAGUGGAACUUAGGGUGGAGCGGUGAAAUGCGUUGAUAUCCUAAGGAACACCAGUGGCGAAAGCGACUCACUGGGUCUCUUCUGACGCUGAGGCACGAAAGCUAGGGUAGCGAACGGG